CCCUGAGGCUUAAAACCUUCAACAACGCUUCCUCUGGGGUGUAAGCUCUUCUUACUGGCUCACCCUGUGGAGGGAGUGUACUUUCACCUUCAAUAAACCUUUGAUCUUGCUGCUCCUUUUGCGUGUCCUGCUCAAUUCUUUGUUCAAGACACUAAGAACUUGGAUAAGACCCUUCAUCGAGUAACAAUUUUGUAUUAUUUAACCCAAACUUCUGCCACAUGAGGAAGUAAGAAAAAUCUUUCCCUCACUGGCAUCUGCUUUUGUCUGAAACUUCUCAUCCAAACAGCUUAGACUUUCUUGGUAUUCUGGCAUAAAUACUCUGAAGAACCCAUUAGAAGACUUGAAAGAGUACAGAAAGAGGAAAUCUCAAGAAUAGGUAAGAUUCUGCUUUGUGAGAAAGGGAAGUCGUGUGUCUGCUCUCCGAAACUCUGUUCUCAGUAAAAGCACCAUCAGGUCAAGAAAACAUGUACGUCAAUCAGUUCCUCUUUGCUUAAAUGAAUUCCGCAUGAAUUGGUCAUUUGCAACCAAGAGUUCUGACAAAUACAUUGCACAAGAAAAGAGAAAUCAUGAAUCAUGAAAAAUGGAUCUUAAUUCCUUUAAGAUGAUGGAGCCAGCAGCAAAUCACAUCUCUGUGGUGGGAACAGAGACAUCUAGAGAACAACUUCUUCGUGAGAAGAAAGAGAAGAGCUCUGGGAAUCAAGAAAGAACCAGUAGGAAAGCUAAAAAUCACAGAGAACAGAAGACAACCAGAGAAAGGAAUGAAGCAGUGUGGAAAGCUAACUCUGACUCCAGGGUAGAGGGGAUCUCACCCCCAAACACAAGGACAUCAGAGAUGAGAAACCAGGCGUUAUAACACUGUACAAUCCAACGUGUCUCCCAUAUGUGUGGAAGAAUGAGAAGCAAGAAAAACCAGUUUCAAUCUAUAUUGUGUCCAGUGGGCAGGGAGCAUAUUUGGCACUAGGCUUCCUGCUAGAGAUUUCAGAUAUUGCCAGGCUGAAACAGUUCAUGCCUCUGGUUGUUGGGACAUAAACAGACAACUUACCAAGAUUUCCUCCCAGAGACAAAGUGGCUUCUCUUUGGAGAAGAUGUUCUGCUCCCUGAGUGUGAUGUGGUGGAAGGGAUUGAAAUCCAAGCAUAUGGGCUGGGAAAUGGUCCACCAAGAAUUUGGGAUCCAAGGAAGGAAUAAGCUCUGCUGACAGAGUCAUCCCAUGCCAAGGACAAAAAACCUAUGGAUGCCAAAUGGGACACAGAGUGAACAGCCUCUUCCAGGGAUACCUGAGAAAGCAGAAGACUGACCUUAGCAGUUGUUGUAUUACCUCCUCACAGAGGGGUCUGGACAAAGCCGUUGUCAAAGCAUGGGUUUCGCUCCGAUGUUGUUCUGCUUGCUCCAUCUGGGACUCAGAUGCAUUCUCCUUUACCACUGAAUUCCUCAACUUGGACCACACCACAUCUGCUACCUGGAAAGUCUGACAAACAGCCUGGAAUAUCUGCCUACGAGCAAAUAUUUAUACUGUUGGAGUUACAUGUAUCAUUUAGCCUAUCUUACCUCAGAGUGUUUUUGCUUUACACUGAGUCAGAUACAGAACUCAAAACUUCUUAGUUUUGUGAAUGUUGAAUAGUAAAUUUUUUGUUUUGGUCAGCCUAUCCUGUCUUCAGAGGUGCUGAUUUCAUCAAUUACAAGCAAUAAUUAUUCAACAUUCACAAAACUAAACUAAAAUAAAUCAUAUAUAUGAUAUAUAUUAUAUAAUAUAUAGUAUAUAUAUGUAUGUAUUUUUAAAAACUUAAACUGGGCAUAGUGGAACAUGCCCAUAAUCCUGGCAUUCUGGGAGGCUGAGGCAGGAGGAUCACAAGUUCAAGUCCAGCCUGUUAGCAACUUAGUGAGACCCUGUCUCAAAAUAAAAAAAUUAAAAGUAGGACUAAGGAUGUAGCUUAGUGCAGAGGCCCUGGGUUCAAUCCCCAGGACAGAAAAAAACAAUUAAAAAUCCAGCUGAUCUUGGGGAUAAGACUAAGGCACUUCUGGUUGUUUCUGAAUGUUCCAUCUUAUCCCACCAUUUCUCAGCUUUUCUGCAUUAUAACUGGUCUCCUUUAGCUAGCCAUAAAGAGAGAAUUCCUUUUUUCAGACCAGUGAACUGACUGAUCACAUCACAUCAGCUCUAUUCUUCAGGUCAUGGCUUUGCAGCUGAGUUGUUUUAUUUACAGGUAUUUCUCGGUUUUGUUUGUUUGUUUUGCUUUGCAUUUAUAUUUGGAAAUCUAGUUGAAAAAAACAACAUUACUGGAUCCAGGAGCACCUUAUGAGAGUACACGUACCUUGCUGAUAGAAAUAAAAUCUAGAAUCUAUGACUCUCUUCUUUAGUUCCUUUCACCUGCAAGAAGAUAAGGUGCCCAGUCUAAUAGCUGAGGCAACACGUCUAUGUUUACCAUGUUGUACAUGCUUUAAUUUCCCUUAGCAGUCAUUCACCAGAGAGAGAAGGAGGAGCAACCUACAGGAAUCAGUGAUUUCUGGCAUUAAAAUUGCUGGCCACAUCAGGCUGCUUCUCACACAUGGCCCCAGUAAGACCAGAUAAAUUUCCACGGAAUCAUUCAACCUGUCUGAUUACUGUUUCCUGAUGUCAGAAGAGAUUCAAAUUUCCUACAUUUUAGGAAAUAUAUCUCUAUAUGUACAGCCUAUUGGUUCUGUUUUUCUGCAGAACCCGAAUACAAAUCUCAUAAUGAUUUAUACAAGAUCAAAUUAAAUUUCAUGAAAAGUUUGGAGAAUCUGAUUCUAUUCUAGUCUUCUUAGGAAAAUUAAAUACAUAAAUUAAUUCAAAAAAUUCUAAAUUAAAAAUGUGAGUAAUGACACGAGGCUAGAUAAAUUAGUUAUUUAAAUAUAUUAUAAAAGCUAUGAUAAUUAAAAUAUGGCACUGCUAAGAGAAGAAAAAUAUAUAGAUAUAGGAUCCAGAAUAGGCAGCCCAGAAAUUCACUUUGUUCCAUAUAAGAAGUGGCUAGACACUCACAGAUAUAUAUCAGAAGGAAGUGAAGUCAGCAUACAAAAGAUACCUGCAUGCCCAUGUGUAUUGUGCCACUUUUCACAACAGCCAAAGUAGGAAUCAGCCUCAGUGCCUUAAUAAUGGAUAAAUGUGAUACACACACACACACACACACACACACACAAUAGAGUACUAUUCAGCCGUAAAGAAGAACGAAAUCCGUCCAUUUCCCUCAAAGUGAAUGGAACUGGAGACAUUGUGUGAAACUAGUCCCAGAAAGUUAAAAUUCACAUGCUUUCUUUUAUGUAAGCAAUCUAAAAGUAAAGACAAAUAAAUGCAAACGCAAAGGAGAGAGGACAGGAAACCAGAAGGUCGAUUUCCAGUGACAGGAAAGGGGAAGGGAGACAAAAGAAAGGGUAUGAAAGUCAUCAGACUUUGUUAAACGCGUGUACUAAUGUAUCAUUACGAAUCUCAGUAUUGUUACUGCUAAUCCGUACCAAUAAAAAUAAAAUUACCUAUUUUUAA
rnacentral:lncRNA from 1 species